GUUUUAUUCUGAAGCAUAAACAACGUAGGUUGUUAAAGUGAAAUCAGCCAUCUCAAGGUCUGUUAGCAAGAAGAAAUAGGUGUCAAGUGCUGGGUAUGGUUGCAAUCUGAACUGUUCAAAGGUGCAAUCAUCCAUCUUUGGGGCUUCUAUCUCAACCUGGUCGUCUUCUUUACAGUUGAGUAAUCGGCUCUCAUUUUUUAUUUUAUUUUUUAUUUAGUUUGUUUGGGAAUUCCAGGCUAUGUUCUCCUUCCUUAAUUUCGUUAUCUUGCAUA